rnacentral:misc_RNA from 1 species
GAAAUGCGAUAAGUAGUGUGAAUUGCAGAAUUCAGUGAAUCAUCGAAUCUUUGAACGCACAUUGCGCCCUUUGGUAUUCCGAAGGGCAUACCUGUUCGAGCGUCAUUUAAACCCCUCAAGCACAGCUUGGUUUUGGGCGUCUUGUCUGUAUUAGACUCGCCUUAAAAUUAUCGGCGCUAUCCUAUCAAAUUAUGGAGCACAGUACAUUGCUGCUACUAAUUAGAGUAGGGUCAGUAGCCGGACAUAUUUUUUUUUUUAAUUUGACCUCGGAUCAGGUAGGGAUACCCGCUGAACUUAA